rnacentral:rRNA from 1 species
UGGGGAAUUUUGCACAAUGGGGGAAACCCUGAUGCAGCGACGCCGCGUGAUUUAGAAGGCCUUCGGGUUGUAAAAAUCUUUUGUAUAGGAAGAAAAUGACAGUACUAUACGAAUAAGGACCGGCUAAUUACGUGCCAGCAGCCGCGGUAAUACGUAAGGUCCGAGCGUUGUCCGGAAUCAUUGGGCGUAAAGGGUACGUAGGCGGGUAAGCAAGUUAGAAGUGAAAUCCUAUAGCUCAACUAUAGUAAGCUUUUAAAACUGCUCAUCUUGAGAUAUGGAAGGGAAAGUGGAAUUCCUAGUGUAGCGGUGAAAUGCGCAGAUAUUAGGAGGAAUACCGGUGGCGAAGGCGACUUUAUGGCCAUAAUCUGACGCUGAGGUACGAAAGCGUGGGUAGCAAACAGG